UCAAAAUUAAAUUUACAAAUUCAUAGUAAAAUGAUGUAGGCUAAUACCCUGAGGUGUUUAACAAAAUGCUGAAUCGAAAUUAGACUGCGCAUCGCUUCGGGCCUAACGUUAACAUCACUGUUAUUUACAUAUUUUAAAGAUAUAAAGGAAAAUGUCAUAAACAUCAGCCACUAUAUAAAUGUCAAUAAUGACUACUCUUGACAUUUUUAAUGGACCAUUUUGAAGAGGGAACAAAAACUGUCAAUAAAGGUGAGACUGGCCAUAAAAAAUUAGAUUCAAAAUCUGUUUCCAAAAGAUGAAUUUUGUGGAUUUGAGCACAUAUUAUUUGGUUAAUUCUUAAUUUAUCUGAUGUUUUAUAUCGUAAAGUGAUUCAAAGAUGAUUUUCUUCUAAAAAUUUUGAAGCCCAAAUAUAUAAUGUUUCACAAAGUAUAAUAGAUUGCUCUUGAAAUCACUAUCGAGAAUCUGUCAUUAGUCAAUAUUGGACAUGGUGGUUGUCGAUAACGAACUACCAGCAGAAGACUAAGCCGUUUUCAGAUCAAUUUUGCUAGACGAAGUCUCACAUUCUCUAUGACCAAGCUUCGUGCAGACGGUGGAAUUACUGUAAGUAUGACUAUCAUCAGAAAAAGUUUGCAUAAAGCUAGUAUUAGAGCCACAAGAUGUAUUUAAAACCCUCUGCUACUCAAGGAGCAUCGGGUUGGCUGUAAUGGGUGGGCCACUGAUCACCGCCACUGGAUUGCAGCCGAAUGACGUAAUUGUCAAAACAUGGCUCCAACUGUCACUUUUGGAGGUGGUUUUGAAACAAUGUGAAUGUGAUUAUUUUCGAGAAGCAAUUCCAAUAAUUUCUAUAUUAUUAUUUUUAAUUCAUCACCACACAGUCAUCAAUUAAAGUAAAGUGCUACCAAUCAAUGUUAUUAAAUAUUACAGUGUAAUAAUUCAACUUAUUUUCCGGACCGGUUUUUAAGAUUCAUUUAAAUGUUCAAUGGAGAAAUAAACAAAAAUCAUUAAAAUGUAGUUACAGACAUGACAUUAUAUGUAAAAAAAAUUUGGGUCAACCAGUUUGGCACGUAGUGCCAGAACUUUUCAUUUGCUCCAAUGAAUGUCCAUGUGGUAUUCAUUAACGUCCACCCAUAACCAUGCAUAUACAUAAAAGCCCCAAGGAAUGCUGGGUCAAAAUCAGCAGCAGAACACUCUGCCAUUUGUUUUUGUUAGACAUUUUUGGAAAUUGCUUUUAAUUGAUCAUUUUUUAUAUUUUAAGUCUGGGACGUAGGAAGUAAGAGUUUUUACUUCAAGAGAUACCUAGAUGAAAGACUAAUUCUAAAGAGAUAUUAUGACCUGGAUAUAGCAUGAACGUGAUGAGAGAUAUCAUGAUUAAAAUAUGGCUCCAACUGUUGUUUUUGGAGCUUCUUGUAGUGCGUGUUGAGUUUCUGUAACAAUACGAUAAAGCUCAUGCGAGGAUGCAGAGGCCUUCAGAGACAAUUUUACAUUUUAAACUACCAGUCUGAAAUUUGGAGCUUAGUUAUGUCAAGAAUGGUAAAGAAGAAUGUAUGAUAAGAAUGGUGGAAGCUGUUCGUACACGAAGGGAACCGACCAAAUUGGAAAAGAAGUGCUUAAUAUUCUUUUUUAUUAUAAUUAACUUUGUUUUAUUAAUUUCCCAGAAGGUUUGUUGAUAUUAAUUGUAAUAGUAGUUCUAUUGUUGGUGCAAUUUUGUUUUAUUUACUGGUAUUUUAAUUUUUGAAAUAAUUCAGAUUAUCCACUUCAAAAGACGCUCAAUGUAAUUUGAGGUCUGUGACACAUAAUGCAUAAUUUAAACUCACUAAUUGACAUGUAAUGGCAUUUUUGCGGAAUCGAUCGUGGGUUGAUCCAGCCAGAAACUGAGUUAUGGGACGAAGGUGCGAACAGGCGUGAAAUAGACCGAUAUAGGCACUAGUGUGGAGCUAUUUAACAAACUAGGCGCAUUGAGAGGCGGAAAUGGUUAAUGGUUCAAAUUAAUUAAAACGUUCAAUUAAUGGGCUUCGCCAAAUAAAAACUUGUUCACGA